CACCUCUCAGAGUCGCACCUGGAGAGUUUCCAGUACUCUACCAGUCUCGACUAUGAGAGGGAGAGUCAAAUAGAGGACGACCCAUUCCAUUCCUAGCUUGGGCAGUGGCUAGCAAGUGGAAGGCAGUCUGCUACAAGU